rnacentral:sRNA from 1 species
GCGCCCGGAGGUCAACUCCCGCCAGCGAUGUUCGCCCGCGGGAGCGAUAACG